rnacentral:rRNA from 1 species
GAUGAACGCUGGCGGCGUGCCUAAUACAUGCAAGUCGAACGAUCGACUCCGGUCGAUAGUGGCGAACGGGUGAGUAACGCGUUGGUGACCUGCCCCGAAGUGCGGGAUAACAGGCCGAAAGGCCUGCUAAUACCGGAUACGCUAACCAUGGUGUAAGAAGUGGUUAGGAAAGGAGCAAUCCGCUUUGGGAGGGGCCUGCGUCCCAUCAGCUAGUUGGUAAGGUAACGGCUUACCAAGGCGAUGACGGGUAGGGGACCUGAGAGGGUGACCCCCCACAAUGGAACUGAAACACGGUCCAUACACCUACGGGUGGCUG